rnacentral:rRNA from 1 species
AGCGAACGUUAGCGGCGGGCCUAACACAUGCAAGUCGAACGAGAAAGCCUUCGGGCGAGUAAAGUGGCGCACGGGUGAGGAACGCGUAGGUAAUCUACCCUCUGGCGGGGGACAACACUCCGAAAGGAAUGCUAAUACCGCACGAGACCACACUCACCACGGUGAGAGGGGUAAAAGGCGCCCUUAAAGCGCCACCAGAGGAUGAGCCUGCGUCCCAUCAGCUUGUUGGUAAGGUAACGGCUUACCAAGGCGAAGACGGGUAGCUGGUCUGAGAGGAUGAUCAGCCACACUGGUACUGGAACACGGACCAGACUCCUACGGGAGGCAGCAGUGAGGAAUAUUGGGCAAUGGGCGAAAGCCUGACCCAGCCACGCCGCGUGUGUGAUGAAGGCCUUCGGGUCGUAAAGCACUGUGGGGAGAGACGAACAAGCGCAGUAGGAAAUGACUGCGCCCUGACGGUACCUCCUUAGCAAGCACCGGCUAACUCUGUGCCAGCAGCCGCGGUAAUACAGAGGGUGCAAACGUUGCUCGGAUUUACUGGGCGUAAAGCGCGUGUAGGCGGACUCGCAAGUCGGUUGUGAAAUCCCUGGGCUCAACCUAGGAACUGCAUCCGAAACUGCUUGUCUUGAGUAAUGGAGAGGGUGGCGGAAUUCCCGGUGUA